GUGGGGAAUCUUCCGCAAUGGACGAAAGUCUGACGGAGCGACGCCGCGUGAGUGAAGAAGGCCUUCGGGUCGUAAAGCUCUGUCAUCAGGGACGAACGGCCGGUGGAGUGGAAAGCCACCGGAUUGACGGUACCUGAGAAGGAAGCCACGGCUAACUACGUGCCAGCAGCCGCGGUAAUACGUAGGUGGCAAGCGUUGUCCGGAAUUAUUGGGCGUAAAGCGCGCGCAGGUGGGAUCUUAAGUCCAUUUUUAAAGUUCGGAGCUCAACUCCGUGAUGGGAUGGAAACUGGGAUUCUUGAGUACCGGAGAGGAAAGCGGAAUUCCCCGUGUAGCGGUGAAAUGCGUAGAUAUGGGGAGGAACACCAGUGGCGAAGGCGGCUUUCUGGACGGUGUCUGACACUGAGGCGCGAAAGCCAGGGGAGCGAACGGGAUUAGAAACCCGGGUAGUCC
rnacentral:rRNA from 1 species